AUGUUAUAUGAAAGUAGAAAAAGUUAGCACUCCCCUCGGUAAGGAUGGAAGAGGUCCUUGGGCCUGAUAACACGCAUAUGGUUAAGGCAUCACCACCUCUUUAUGGCAUCUAACCAUUGUUUUAA